rnacentral:rRNA from 1 species
CCCUUAGAUGUCCUGGGCUGCACGCGCGCUACACUGGAAGUUACGGAUUGAGAUACUACCUUGUCCGAAAUGGUCCGGGUAAUCACCUAAAAGCUUGUCAUAAUUGGAAUGGAUUAUUGUAACUAGUAAUCCUGAACGAGGAAUUCCUAGUAAGUCCCAGUCAACAGCUGGUACUGAUUACGUCCCUGCCCUUUGUACACACCGCCCGUCGCUACUACUGAUUGGACGUUUAAGCAAGAUUUUUAAACACUGACAGUGUGUAGUUCACGCUAUACUACAGUGAGAAGAAGAAGAUCGAGCUUACUUGUCUAGAGGAAGUAAAGUCGUAACA